rnacentral:rRNA from 1 species
GGGAUUGCCUCAGUAACGGCGAGUGAAGCGGCAACAGCUCAAAUUUGAAAUCUGACCCCUUCGGGGUCCGAGUUGUAAUUUGUAGAGAGUGUUUCGGGUGAGACCACGGUCUAAGUCCAUUGGAACAUGGCGUCAUAGAGGGUGAGAAUCCCGUAUGUGACUGUGGUUCGAACCCAUGUGAAGCCUCUUCGACGAGUCGAGUUGUUUGGGAAUGCAGCUCAAAAUGGGUGGUAAAUUUCAUCUAAAGCUAAAUACUGGCUGGAGACCGAUAGCGCACAAGUAGAGUGAUCGAAAGAUGAAAAGCACUUUGGAAAGAGAGUCAAACAGUACGUGAAAUUGUUGAAAGGGAAGCGCUUGCAACCAGACCUGUCCGUAGGUGAUCAGCCGCUGUUCUCAGUGGUGCACUCGCUCUGCGAUCAGGCCAGCAUCGGUUUCGGCGGUCGGAUAAAGGCCUUGGGAAUGUAGCUUCCCUUCGGGGGAGUCUUAUAGCCCUCGGUGCAAUGCGGCCAGCCGGGACCGAGGACCGCGCUUCGGCUAGGAUGCUGGCGUAAUGGUUGUAA